UACGUAGGGACCAAGCGUUGUUCGGAUUUACUGGGCGUAAAGGGCGCGUAGGCGGCGCGGUAAGUCACUUGUGAAAUCUCUGAGCUUAACUCAGAACGGCCAAGUGAUGCUGCAGUGCUAGAGUGUGGAAGGGGCAAUCGGAAUUCUUGGUGUAGCGGUGAAAUGCGUAGAGAUCAUGAGGAAGACCAGUGGCGAAGGCGGGUCUCUGGACAGUUCCUGACACUGAGACACGAAGGCCAGGGGAGCAAACGGG
rnacentral:rRNA from 1 species